rnacentral:rRNA from 1 species
CAAUAGCGUAUAUUAACGUUGUUGCAGUUAAAAAGCUCGUAGUUGGAUUUCUGAUGGGAGCCCUGGUCACUUUAACGAGUGUACUGAUGUGGCGUCCUGUCGUUUCAUGGGGAUGCUUGCUGGUAUUAAGUUAUCGGCUUGUGGAUCCAUGUCGUUUACUGUGAAAAAAUUAGAGUGUUCAAAGCAGGCCAUCGCUGUGAAUACAUUAGCAUGGAAUAAUAAGAUAGGACUGUGGUGCUAUUUUGUUGGUUUGCGUACUACGGUAAUGAUUAAUAGGGAUAGUUGGGGGUAUUCAUAUUCAAUUGUCAGAGGUGAAAUUCUUGGAUUUAUGGAAGAUGAACUACUGCGAAAGCAUUUACCAAGGAUGUUUUCAUUAA